GUUGCUACGGCGACGUCGCGAGAGUCCACUGAACCUUAUCAUUUAGAGGAAGGAGAAGUCGUAACAAGGUUUCCGUAGGUGAACCUGCGGAAGGAUCAUUGACGAAACCUCAAAAACCGAACGACCCGUGAACCUGUUACCCUAUCGGGGGCUGCGAGGGCAUCCAGCGUCCCGAGCCCCCCCCACGUCGGGAGGAGACCGCAGGCUGUCCCUGCGCACGCUCCUGUCGAUGCACAACUAACCCCCGGCGCCAGUCGCGCCAAGGAAAAUUUAACAAAAAGCGCGCUCCUGCCGGCCCGGAAGCGGUGCCCGAGCGGCGAGCGUCGCCAGAUUUUAAUCCAAAAUGACUCUCGGCAACGGAUAUCUCGGCUCUCGCAUCGAUGAAGAACGUAGCGAAAUGCGAUACUUGGUGUGAAUUGCAGAAUCCCGUGAACCAUCGAGUCUUUGAACGCAAGUUGCGCCCGAAGCCAUUAGGCCGAGGGCACGUCCGACUGGGUGUCACGCAUCGUUGCCCCAAACACGUCGCCUUUCCACGGUCGCCAUGGGCGGGGCAGAUAUUGGCCUCCCGUGAGCCUUGCCUUGCGGCUGGCCCAAAUUUGAGUCCUCGGUGGCGAGCGCUGCAACGUACGGUGGCUGAGUAACACUCGAGACCAAUCGCGCACGCGCGUCGCCCCUCGAUCGGGCUCCGAGACCCUCUCGAGUCAUUAGCACACUCUCAACAUGACCCCAGUUCGGGCGGGGCCACCCGCUGAGUUUAAGCAUAUCAA
rnacentral:sRNA from 1 species